GCUUAGCCCUAAACAUCGGACGUUCCUACAACACACCCCGCCAGAGAAUUACAAGCAAAAGCUCCAAACUCAAAGGACUUGGCGGUGCCCUACACCAUCCUAGAGGAGCCUGUCCUAUAAUCGAUACCCCACGUUAAACCUCACCACAUUUUGCAACCGUCAGCCUAUAUACCGCCGUCGUAUGUUUACCCCAUGAGGGUGCAUAAGUAAACACAACAGUAACAUACUAAAACAUCAGGUCAAGGUGUAGCUAACAAAGUGGAAGCGAUGGGCUACAUUUUCUACAACAGAACACACGACAAAUACAAUGAAAUACUGCAUUACAAGGUGGAUUUAGCAGUAAACUAAGGCAAGAAUGCCAACUUUAACCCUGCUCUGGGGCGCGCACACACCGCCCGUCACCCUCAUCAAAAACAAUUAUAAACCGUCCAUUAACCAAUAAAACC
rnacentral:rRNA from 1 species